GGGGAGUUGCGCAGUUGGCUAGCGCGUUUUGACUGGCAGUCAAAAGGUCACGGGUUCGAAUCCCGUAUUCUCCA
rnacentral:tRNA from 1 species